CAGACACAUCAAUGCUUUACUGGAGUGGAAGAGAUGGGUAUGUUUGAAUUCUGAAGAUAGAUUAGCACUGAUCAAAGACAAGAAAACCAAUCAAGAGAUAUCCAGUAAUGAAGUCCAGGCCGAACUUUUGCGGAUUCGGAACUUGACUUAUAUCAUAGAUGCCCAUAAACCGGAAGGACAAUAUCGGUCAGAAAAUCUGACAGAGAAUCUGAGAAAAGGUGAUACCACACCUGUAGAACGGUUCCCAGAAAAUUAUCUCACUGAUCGGACAUUUUCUCACUCCGACCGAACACAUCACAGAGAUCCCAACCAAGAGGACAUUGAAAAGGCGUUACGUGAUACUGCUAUGACGUUGUCCGACAUAGAGAACUUACUUGGAAAUCGGUGAUUGUUACUCCUAGCAGCCAGAAACAUGAACCAAUUGUUGAACAAUGACGUUCAGAGUCACUCUGAUUUAGUAUGUUUUUGAUCAAUGGAUGUUAUUCUGUAUAAAGCAUGAUUGAGUUGCCUGACAUUACACUAAAAAGAAGCUUUUCAGGACGCUCUUUUAAGUAAAUGAUGAGGCUUUGAUUUCUCACCUCGCAUUACCAUGUUUACGUGAGUUUUUGUAGCAAAGCUAUCUAGUUUUCAAUCCUUCAUCACUUAGAUAACAUCUCAAGAACUCUGUUUAUCCGCAGAUUGACGUCAUCCGUACAGGAAUUAAUCAUCAAUGGUAUUCGAUUUCACUCGGAAGUGUCAUGAUAUGAUGCAAUAACAAAAUAAACUCUAUCUUAUAGAAUUUAUAAGAUUCUAUAACGAUCACUUGACACUAACCUAAUUCUCCAUGCGCCCUGACAGUUUUAUCUUGGAUAAGUGAAAAAUGAUGUUUUGCAAUCCUAAACGUCCACAUUGCCAUAUUUAUUGAUAAGCAACUUCUUAUUGUUUAAUGUAGUAUAUACGUUGUACCCUUUUUUGUCUUGGGGUAAUUUGUGAACAUUUUCUUGGCAGAGAGAGAGAGAGAGAGAGUCACACAGAACAUUAACUUAUUGUAUCUAGGGGCGGCACGGGGAGGGGGGCUGAUCACGACUGCCGGACAUUUGUUUUCCUUUCAAUAAUCUUUAAAAAAAAAACAGAGGGGAAAAAAGAGAAAUAGAAAAGGGGGAAAAGACAUUUAUGUUUGACCGGUGAGUUAGGUCGUGGAACCUCUUGUGUACUGUAUUUUCUACCCAUAUUGAUAUUAAGCUUGGCUUGCCCCACCCCGCCUCCUCUUAAUUCCCUUGCGCAGUCUGUACUUGUAUCAUAGAAGUAUUGUAUUGCCUGUCUUAAGUAUCGCUUGUUUUAAAUUUUGUAAAUGAUACUAUCAUGUCAAAUGUUUUUUAUUACCAUGUCAACCUUCAAAUAUGACUGUAAUUGACCGUUUCUUUGUCCCCAUUCUAAAUUUGAAUAAAUAAAAGAUUAAGCGCAUUUAUAUUCUGUUAUUCAGUAUGACGCCUAUCUUGUGACGUUCGUGGAAGAUUUACUCCAGAUUAAUUGCCUGAGAAUUGGUUUUUAUAAUUUUUUUGUCUAAAUGAGAAAAAAAAUUAACAAUCGUCGGGCCCCUUUUGUUUAUUUUGUCCAAAUGAUCCGAAUUCACAUAUAGUUACAAAUGUUUUCACACAACAUGCGAUUUGUUAUCUUCUUUUAUUUUGUGUAACAGUUAUUUCAACUUUUGAAAAUGAAUAUUUCAUAGACUUUUCGCUAUCCUAACUAAAUAUUUGCUUUCAAAGGAAAUAAAUAAGAACUAAUAAAGGUAGAUUCUACUAAACAUAUUACUCUGUCACUUUUUCAUAACACACUUGAAAAAGUGAUUUCAUAAGCAUUUUCGCAGAUCAUUUACAUUUAAAUGCCUUUAAGUACACUUCUUUAUUUCAUGGUAUAAUAUAUGAUAACGAAUUACAUCAUUUUCCCUACAAGACAAUCUGAUACUUGAAUUGGUAACACAAUUUACAGGGGGUAUUAUCUCCGAAUUUCAAGGAAGUUAACGUUACAAUCUUGUAAUUUGACAGAAACCCGAAGACGCGAAAUAUACGAGGCUAUUUCGAUGCCUAAAAAGAUGGGCGGGGAGGGGGGAGGGGGCUGAGCCACCCCCUUUAUGGCCUUGGCCGUCGAUCAUGCGAUCGCGACGAAAAUAAGCACGCGCGUUACUCAUGGCAUAAUCUAAAAAACUAUAUGAGAUCAAAUUAUGCGAAAAAGAUCAUUGCUAAUUGUGCUAAUUAUGCGUAAAAUCAAAAGUUUGCUCUAAUUAACUAAAUAACGCCCCUAGAAUGCAAAUUUUUUGUUCAAAGAUACUUUAUAGGAAUCUGAUCAAAUUAACUUAAAAAAAAUCAACAUCACAUAUAUUUUCUUACGUAUUUUAUUGCCUUUGCUUAAUUUCUUAUGUAUUUCUCUGCUUUUUUACUUUUUUUUAAUUGUUUAUUCAACCGAAAUUGUCGGCGACUUUAUUUUGACCGUAGAAAAGAUGAAAUUAAUUGAUUUCAAUCAGUUAAAGGAAAAAUAAUGAUAAAAUUAUGAAUUUUGGCUAAAAAACACUAUUUGCAUAUGAUUUGUACGUACAAUCCCAUUUUUGAGCAAUUUUGGGUCUGCAUGCACUUACGAAAUUUUGCGUAAUUUUGGAACCGCGUACCCAGGGUUCACAAUUUUGGUCUUAAAAGUUGCACGAGACUUGUAAGUAAAAAGUAAGCGAGCGACGCGGUCAAAACAAAUUGCGCGGCGGAUUUAUUGCAAAAAAUGUCGAGGGGGUGGGGGCUGAAUCAGCCCCCAGUCUUAUUACGGUUAAGCAUCAUCUUUUCAAAGUUUCUCUUCCGUUUUUGCCCUUUCCGUUAUGAUGUUUAACUUAAUUUAAACCCCCACAUCCUCAGUACAUUUAAUAUGUUAUGUCUAUUUUAGAGACUUCUAUUGCAACCAAAAGGACUAUUUGGAAAAAAAAAUGGGGCGGAUAGCCUUGUGUCACCAUGUAUCAAUUUUCAAGCCUGUCAUAUCACUGACUUUAUAUUUUUCAGUGUCUGCGUUGUCCUUUUAUUAUUUUUAUUUUUUUUUACUUUGAUGUGCCACUUAAACUAUCACACAAAUCAUGUAAAUUGCAAUUCAAUGUGAAUUUUUUUUUGACAUUCAAUGACGUUUUCAGGUGCAUGAAUGUGAUAUUUUUUUCUAAAAUGAUGCUAUUUUAUUCAAUUUAACCCAAUAUAUACGGAUUAUAUUUUCUCCGUGAGCAUUACUUUUCUUUGUUCCAUGUAGGGUAAAAAAGCACAUGAAAGGAAAUGGCAAGGUUUCAUUAAAAACUGAAUAUAUCGUUAUUUCAUUUCUCGCUGUAAACUCAGUCGCAUGAAUUGGCUAAAGUGGUAAUAGAAAUUAUGUAGGGUAUACCUGCGGAAAAAAACAGGCUGCUUUGGUAAUCAUGAAAGGUGACGUUGGGUCUAUGCAUACCCAUAAUCGGAAUCUACUUCAAAACAUGAUCGCAGACAUUAUUACCGGAAGGUGGGGUUUUGAAAAGAGAUUAUCAAGAAUUAAGUAUCAUAUAGAAUAUCGUUAACAUAGAAAUCUGAUUUUAGUAGUGCCCAGAGUGAAAUAGAAAGAUAUUUAUAGAUAUAAUUCCUAUCACCCCGCUCGGUUAGUUGUAAUUUUCAUCUUUGUUAGAAGUCGAUUUUACAGGGCAGUGUUAACAUGGUUAAUGAUAUCGUGGAACGUAGAUAAACGUGUUUGGUAUACGAGCGGUCACGAACGAAGGAAACAUAAUCAUUGACUUUAAAUUGGAUAUACUUUCACGCACAUCAUAUAUAUAUAAUUUUAUAUCGAAAAUUCUUAAUUUAAAUAAACUCAGUGUUGGAAUUCAA